rnacentral:rRNA from 1 species
GAUGAACGCUGGCGGCGUGCCUAAUACAUGCAAGUCGAGCGAACAGACGAGGAGCUUGCUCUUCUGACGUUAGCGGCGGACGGGUGAGUAACACGUGGAUAACCUACCUAUAAGACUGGGAUAACUUCGGGAAACCGGAGCUAAUACCGGAUAACAUAUUAAACUGCAUGGUUCAAUAGUGAAAGACGGUUUUGCUGCAACUUCUAGAUGAAUCCGCGCCGCAUUAGCUAGUUGGUAAGGUAACGGCUUACCAAGGCAACGAUGCGUAGCCGACCUGAGAGGGUGAUCGGCCACACUGGAACUGAGACACGGUCCAGACUCCUACGGGAGGCAGCAGUAGGGAAUCUUCCGCAAUGGGCGAAAGCCUGACGGGGCAACGCCGCGUGAGUGAUGAAGGUCUUCGGAUCGUAAAACUCUGUUAUUAGGGAAGAACAAAUGUGUAAGUAACUAUGCACGUCUUGACGGUACCUAAUCAGAAAGCCACGGCUAACUACGUG